UACGUAGGGUGCGAGCGUUAAUCGGAAUUACUGGGCGUAAAGCGUGCGCAGGCGGUUCGUUAAGUUCGUUGUGAAAGCCCCGGGCUCAACCUGGGAAUGGCAAUGGAAACUGGCGGGCUGGAGUGUGGCAGAGGGGGGUGGAAUUCCACGUGUAGCAGUGAAAUGCGUAGAGAUGUGGAGGAACACCGAUGGCGAAGGCAGCCCCCUGGGCCAACACUGACGCUCAGGCACGAAAGCGUGGGGAGCAAACAGG
rnacentral:rRNA from 1 species